AUUGAACGCUGGCGGCAGGCCUAACACAUGCAAGUCGAGCGGUAGAGAGAAGCUUGCUUCUCUUGAGAGCGGCGGACGGGUGAGUAAUGCCUAGGAAUCUGCCUGGCAGUGGGGGAUAACGUUCAGAAACGGACGCUAAUACCCCAUUCGUACUACGGGAGAAAGCAGGGGACCUUCGGGUCUUGCGCUAUCAGAUGAGCCUAGGUCGGAUUAGCUAUUUGGUGAGGAAAUGGCUCACCAAGGCUACCAUCCGUGACUGGUCUGAGAGGAUGAUCACUUACUCUGGAACUGAGACACGGACCAUACUCCUUCGGGAGGCAGCCCUUGGGAAUAUUGUACAAUGGGUUAAAGCCUGAUCAACCUCUGCCGCGUGUGUGAAUAAGGGGUUCGGAUUGUAAAGCAUUGUACAUUUUGAGGAAGGGGAGUCCCCCACAACGUGUUUUGUUUUGUUUUUUCUCACAGAAUAAAAAACGUUCCUCUCUGUCCCCCCAGCCCCUGUUGCCAGGGGGGGCAUUUAUUUAUCCAAAUUUCUGUGGCGUACAGCGCCCCUAUGUGGGGUUGUAAGGUGAAUGGAUCCCGCGCCUGCUCUGACAGGGGGAUUGUUUUUUUAACUUCCUUUCUAAAUAUGGUCCCGGCGGUGUGAAUUUUCUUGUUUGGGGUGUGCAAGCU
rnacentral:rRNA from 1 species